UGGUCUUGACAUCCCAGGAACCCCGAAGAGAUUUGGGGGUGCCGUAAGGGAAGGAAUCCAUCUCUGGAAACCGUCCUACCAUGUCAAACGCUGGUAAGGUUCUGCGCGUUGCUUCGAAUUAAACCACAUGCUCCACCGCUUGUGCAGGCCCCCGUCAAUUUCUUUGAGUUUUAACCUUGCGGCCGUACUCCCCAGGCGGAUGACUUAACGCGUUAGCUGCGCCACCGAAACCCUAAGGGCCCCGACAGCUAGUCAUCAUCGUUUACGGCGUGGACUAC
rnacentral:misc_RNA from 1 species